rnacentral:rRNA from 1 species
AGACUCCUACGGGAGGCAGCAGUAGGUAAUAUUGGACAAUGGGCGAGAGCCUGAUCCAGCAAUGCCGCGUGUGUGAAGAAGGCCUGAGGGUUGUAAAGCACUUUCAGUUGGGAAGAAAAGCUUUAGGAUAAUANUCUAAAGUCUUGACGUUACCAACAGAAGAAGCACCGGCUAACUCUGUGCCAGCAGCCGCGGUAAUACAGAGGGUGCGAGCGUUAAUCGGAAUUACUGGGCGUAAAGCGUGCGUAGGCGGUUAAGUCAGUCGGAUGUGAAAGCCCAAGGCUUAACCUUGGAACUGCAUUCGAUACUGCUUAGCUAGAGUACAGUAGAGGGAAGCGGAAUUCCUAGUGUAGCGGUGAAAUGCGUAGAUAUUAGGAAGAACACCAGUGGCGAAGGCGGCUUCCUGGACUGAUACUGACGCUGAUGUACGAAAGCGUGGGGAGCAAACAGGAUUAGAUACCCUGGUAGUCCACGCCCUAAACGAUGAGAACUAGAUGUUGGGGGAAAUUAAUCCCUUAGUAUCGCAGCUAACGCGAUAAGUUCUCCGCCUGGGGAGUACGACCGCAAGGUUAAAACUCAAAUGAAUUGACGGGGGCCCGCACAAGCGGUGGAGCAUGUGGUUUAAUUCGAUGCAACGCGAAGAACCUUACCUGGCCUUGACAUCCUCGGAACCUCGCAGAGA